rnacentral:rRNA from 1 species
AUUGAACGCUGGCGGCAGGCCUAACACAUGCAAGUCGAACGGUAACAGGAAACAGCUUGCUGUUUCGCUGACGAGUGGCGGACGGGUGAGUAAUGUCUGGGAAACUGCCUGAUGGAGGGGGAUAACUACUGGAAACGGUAGCUAAUACCGCAUAACGUCGCAAGACCAAAGAGGGGGCCCUUCGGGCCUCUUGCCAUCGGAUGUGCCCAGAUGGGAUUAGCUUGUUGGUGGGGUAACGGCUCACCAAGGCGACGAUCCCUAGCUGGUCUGAGAGGAUGACCAGCCACACUGGAACUGAGACACGGUCCAGACUCCUACGGGAGGCAGCAGUGGGGAAUAUUGCACAAUGGGCGCAAGCCUGAUGCAGCCAUGCCGCGUGUAUGAAGAAGGCCUUCGGGUUGUAAAGUACUUUCAGUGGGGAGGAAGGGAGUAAAGUUAAUACCUUUACUCAUUGACGUUACCCGCAGAAGAAGCACCGGCUAACUCCGUGCCAGCAGCCGCAGUAA